AUUAAAAACCAAUGCCCUUCGGGGCUCUCUGGUGAUUCAUAAUAACUUCUCGAAUCGCACGGCCUUGCGCCGGCGAUGGUUCAUUCAAAUUUCUGCCCUAUCAACUUUCGACGGCUGGGUCUUGGCCAGCCGUGGUGACAACGGGUAACGGAGGGUUAGGGCUCGACCCCGGAGAAGGAGCCUGAGAAACGGCUACUACAUCCAAGGAAGGCAGCAGGCGCGCAAAUUACCCAAUCCCGACACGGGGAGGUAGUGACAAUAAAUACUGAUACAGGGCUCUUUCGGGUCUUGUUAUUGGAAUGAGUACAAUUUAAAUCCCUUAACGAGGAACAAUUGGAGGGCAAGUCUGGUGCCAGCAGCCGCGGUAAUUCCAGCUCCAAUAGCGUAUAUUAAAGUUGUUGAGGUUAAAAAGCUCGUAGUUGAACCUUGGGCCUAGCCGGCCGGUCCGCCUCACCGCGUGCACUGGCUCGGCUGGGUCUUUCCUUCUGGAGAACCGCAUGCCCUUCACUGGGUGUGCC
rnacentral:rRNA from 1 species